GAUGAACGCUGGCGGCAUGCUUUACACAUGCAAGUCGAACGGUAACAGGCCUUCGGGUGCUGACGAGUGGCGAACGGGUGAGUAAUGCAUCGGAACGUGCCCAAUCGUGGGGGAUAACGUAGCGAAAGUUACGCUAAUACCGCAUAAGCCCUGAGGGGGAAAGUGGGGGACCGCAAGGCCUCACGCGAAUGGAGCGGCCGAUGUCAGAUUAGCUAGUUGGUGGGGUAAAGGCCCACCAAGGCGACGAUCUGUAGCGGGUCUGAGAGGAUGAUCCGCCACACUGGGACUGAGACACGGCCCAGACUCCUACGGGAGGCAGCAGUGGGGAAUUUUGGACAAUGGGCGCAAGCCUGAUCCAGCCAUGCCGCGUGCGGGACGAAGGCCUUC
rnacentral:rRNA from 1 species